rnacentral:rRNA from 1 species
CGGCGAGUGAAGCGGGAAGAGCUCAAAUUUAAAAUCUGGUAGCCUUGCGCUGCCCGAGUUGUAGUCUAGAGAAGCAUCAUCCGCGCUGGACCAUGUACAAGUCUCUUGGAACAGAGCGUCAUAGAGGGUGAGAAUCCCGUCCUUGACAUGGACUACCAGUGCUUUGUGUUGUGCUCUCAACGAGUCGAGUUGUUUGGGAAUGCAGCUCAAAAUGGGUGGUAAAUUCCAUCUAAAGCUAAAUAUUGGCGAGAGACCGAUAGCGAACAAGUACCGUGAGGGAAAGAUGAAAAGCACUUUGGAGAGAGAGUUAAACAGUACGUGAAAUUGUUGAAAUGGAAACGCUUGAAGUCAGUCGCGUUCUCUGGGAUUCAGCCUUGCUUUUGCUUGGUGCAUUUCCUAGUCUACGGGCCAGCAUGAAUUUUGACCGGUGCAAAAAGAUUUGGGGAAUGUGGCACCUCCGGGUGUGUUAUAGCCCCUUGUCACAUACGCCGGUUGGGAUUGAGGUCUUAGUGCACGCUUCGGUUGUGCUUUGAUGCUGGCGUAAUGGCUUUAAACGACCCGUCUUGAAACACGGACCAAGGAGUCUAACAUGUCUGCGAGUGUUUGGGUGCAAAACCCGAGCGCGAAAUGAAAGUGAUAGUUGGGAACCUCUUUAGAGGGGCACCGACGCCCGGACCAGACCUUCUGUGACGGAUCCGAGGUAGAGCAUAUAUGUUGGGACCCGAAAGAUGGUGAACUAUGCCUGCAUAGGGUGAAGCCAGAGGAAACUCUGGUGGAGGCUCGUAGCGAUUCUGACGUGCAAAUCGAUCGUCAAAUGUGGGUAUAGGGGCGAAAGACUAAUCGAACCAUUUGUUUUGCUACUUGGUGGUUAAGAGGCAACCGAAAGGUUUAGCCUAGUGAGCGUUGAGGCUUGCAACACUGUCAAAUUGCGGGGACGUCCUAAAGCUUUUGCGACCAAGCAUUAAUGGAAACAUUGGUGUGGCCGAGUUAAUAGCCCUGGGUAUGGUAAAACUGCAAAAGAUGUUACAAUGGAUAAUCCGCAGCCAAGUCCUAAGGACUCCUCUAUUUUGGGGGUCUAUGGAUGCAGUUCACAGACUAAAUGGCAGUGGGUGUGUAUUGAGCUGGGAUUACUAGUUCUACAUGCUUAAGAUAUAGUCGGUCCCGCCGUGAAAACGGACUGGUGGAUGAAGUUCAUGGUCCCUCAGCUUAAAGGCCAUUGUUCUGGAGCCACUGGGUGUAGUUGGAACUUUUUAUUAAAAAUC